GACGAACGCUGGCGGCGUGCUUAACACAUGCAAGUCGAACGGAAAGGCCCUGCUUUUGUGGGGUGCUCGAGUGGCGAACGGGUGAGUAACACGUGAGUAACCUGCCCUUGACUUUGGGAUAACUUCAGGAAACUGGGGCUAAUACCGGAUAGGAGCUCCUGCUGCAUAGUGGGGGUUGGAAAGUUUCGGCGGUUGGGGAUGGACUCGCGGCUUAUCAGCUUGUUGGUGGGGUAGUGGCUUACCAAGGCUUUGACGGGUAGCCGGCCUGAGAGGGUGACCGGCCACAGUGGGACUGAGAUACGGCCCAGACUCCUACGGGAGGCAGCAGUGGGGAAUAUUGCACAAUGGGCGGAAGCCUGAUGCAGCAACGCCGCGUGCGGGAUGACGGCCUUCGGGUUGUAAACCGCUUUCGCCUGUGACGAAGCGUGAGUGACGGUAAUGGGUAAAGAAGCACCGGCUAACUACGUG
rnacentral:rRNA from 1 species